GGAGUUAGCCGGUGCUUCUUCUGUGAGUGAUGUCCUUCCUGCCGGUUAUUGACCCGCAGGCCUUCUUCCUCACUGAAAGUGCUUUACAACCCGAAGGCCUUCUUCACACACGCGGCAUGGCUGGAUCAGGGUUGCCCCCAUUGUCCAAUAUUCCCCACUGCUGCCUCCCGUAGGAGUCUGGGCCGUGUCUCAGUCCCAGUGUGGCUGAUCAUCCUCUCAGACCAGCUACGGAUCGUCGCCUUGGUGAGCCGUUACCUCACCAACCAGCUAAUCCGACAUAGGCUCAUCCGAUAGCGCGAGGCCCGAAGGUCCCCCGCUUUCCCCCGUAGGGCGUAUGCGGUAUUAGCCUGGGUUUCCCCAGGUUAUCCCCCACUACCGGGCAGAUUCCUAUGCAUUACUCACCCGUCCGCCGCUCGCCACCAGGGAGCAAGCUCCCCGUGCUGCCGCUCGACUUGCAUGUGUUAGGCCUCGCCGCCACGCGUUCAAUCUGAGCCAGGAUACAAACUACUCGA
rnacentral:rRNA from 1 species